CUCCCUCGGAGGCUGGCAGGGCUGGGGGCGAACCUGUUUGGCUGGCAAGGGACUCUCCCAGCUCCGCGACAGGAGGAGGAGGAGGAGGAGGAGGAGAAGACGAUGCUGGCAAACAAGUUGGAAUUUGACCUGUGAAAUCUUUCACGGAGAUGACUGUCUGGGAAAAGGAAACUCUAAGACAGAUUUUGUGCUAGAGUUGAUGUAACGCAUCCCAGGGAAGCAGAACUUGGAACUCAGGUGGCUCUAAGCAGGUAAGUUAAUAGCAGAGUAAACUUGCGAGAAACAAGCUUGUAUAAAAGAAUAAAAGAAAAGGAAACAGUAAGACCA
rnacentral:lncRNA from 1 species